GUGUUGUGGCUCAGUGGUAAAGCACUUGCCUAGCAUGUGUGAGACACUGGGUUUGAUUCUCAGCACUGCAUA
rnacentral:tRNA from 1 species